rnacentral:rRNA from 1 species
UACGUAGGGGGCAAGCGUUUGUCCGGAAUCAUUGGCGUAAAGCGCGUGUAGGCGGUUCGGUAAGUCGGCUGUGAAAGUCCAGGGCUCAACCCUGGGAUGCCGGUCGAUACUGCCGGACUAGAGUUCGGAAGAGGCGAGUGGAAUUCCCGGUGUAGCGGUGAAAUGCGCAGAUAUCGGGAGGAACACCAGUGGCGGAAGGCGGCACUCUGGGCCAGUACUGACACUGAGGA